GGAUGUGAGGGCAAUCUGGCUGCAACAUCUAUCACCCAGUAAUUUCCAGGGUUGAUUCAGCUAAUCUGACUGGCUAGGCAAGUGUCCUUUUCCUCCCUCACUGCUCUAUAUGCAUCCCUCUUGAAGCUGUGCUCUCAGCUGAAGAGGACAAUCAUCCUGGACAGAGGACCAUUCUUCGAUCAAGGGUCUAUGAGUAACUCUGCUCUCCUGCUAGAACCUCCAAACAAGCUCUCAGAGUCAUCCUAGCCAGUCAUACUAGCUGACCCAGCUGAGGCCUCAGAGAGGGCAUACAGC
rnacentral:snRNA from 1 species